UUUCCUACGGGGGGCAGCAGUAGGGAAUUUUCGUCAAUGGGCGCAAGCCUGAACGAGCAAUGCCGCGUGAACGAGGAAGGUCUUCGGAUCGUAAAGUUCUGUUGAAGGGGAAAAAGAGCGGAGAGAGGAAAUGAACUCCGAUUGAUAUUACCCUUCGAGGAAGUCACGGCUAACUACGUGCCAGCAGCCGCGGUAAUACGUAGGUGGCGAGCGUUAUCCGGAAUGAUUGGGCGUAAAGGGUGCGUAGGCGGUCCGUUAAGUCAGCGGUAAAAUUGCGGGGCUCAACCCCGUCGAGCCGUUGAAAC
rnacentral:rRNA from 1 species